ACCUACGGGGGGCAGCAGUGGGGAAUAUUGGACAAUGGGCGCAAGCCUGAUCCAGCCAUGCCGCGUGAGUGAAGAAGGCCCUCGGGUUGUAAAGCUCUUUUGUCCGGAAAGAAAAGCAUUCGGUUAAUACCCGGGUGUUCUGACGGUACCGGAAGAAUAAGCACCGGCUAACUUCGUGCCAGCAGCCGCGGUAAUACGAAGGGUGCAAGCGUUACUCGGAAUUACUGGGCGUAAAGCGUGCGUAGGUGGUUUGUUAAGUCUGAUGUGAAAGCCCUGGGCUCAACCUGGGAAUGGCACUGGAUACUGGCAAGCUAGAGUGUGGCAGAGGGUAGUGGAAUUCCUGGUGUAGCAGUGAAAUGCGUAGAGAUCAGGAGGAACAUCCGUGGCGAAGGCGACUGCCUGGGCCAACACUGACACUGAGGCACGAAAGCGUGGGGAGCAAACAGGAUUAGAUACCCCUGUAGUCCA
rnacentral:rRNA from 1 species